rnacentral:rRNA from 1 species
CCUACGGGGGGCUUCAGUGGGGAAUAUUGGACAAUGGGCGAAAGCCUGAUCCAGCCAUGCCGCGUGUGUGAAGAAGGCCUUCGGGUUGUAAAGCACUUUCAGUGGGGAAGAAAGCCUUGGGGCUAAUACCCUCGAGGAAGGACAUCACCCACAGAAGAAGCACCGGCUAACUCCGUGCCAGCAGCCGCGGUAAUACGGAGGGUGCGAGCGUUAAUCGGAAUUACUGGGCGUAAAGCGCGCGUAGGCGGUCUGAUAAGCCGGUUGUGAAAGCCCCGGGCUCAACCUGGGAACGGCAUCCGGAACUGUCAGGCUAGAGUGCAGGAGAGGAAGGUAGAAUUCCCGGUGUAGCGGUGAAAUGCGUAGAGAUCGGGAGGAAUACCAGUGGCGAAGGCGGCCUUCUGGACUGACACUGACGCUGAGGUGCGAAAGCGUGGGUAGCAAACAGGAUUAGAUACCCUAGUAGUC